ACCAAAGGGAAUAGCUCAGUUGGUAGAGCGUGAGACUCUUAAUAUCGGGGUAGUGAGUUUGAGCCCCACGUUGGGUG